UGAAUAAAAUAAGACCCUGCAAUUGCAAAC
rnacentral:piRNA from 1 species